GACGAACGCUGGCGGCGUGCUUAACACAUGCAAGUCGAACGGAAAGGCCCUGCUUUUGUGGGGUGCUCGAGUGGCGAACGGGUGAGUAACACGUGAGUAACCUGCCCUUGACUUUGGGAUAACUUCAGGAAACUGGGGCUAAUACCGGAUAGGAGCUCCUGCUGCAUGGUGGGGGUUGGAAAGUUUCGGCGGUUGGGGAUGGACUCGCGGCUUAUCAGCUUGUUGGUGGGGUAGUGGCUUACCAAGGCUUUGACGGGUAGCCGGCCUGAGAGGGUGACCGGCCACAUUGGGACUGAGAUACGGCCCAGACUCCUACGGGAGGCAGCAGUGGGGAAUAUUGCACAAUGGGCGGAAGCCUGAUGCAGCAACGCCGCGUGCGGGAUGACGGCCUUCGGGUUGUAAACCGCUUUCGCCUGUGACGAAGCGUGAGUGACGGUAAUGGGUAAAGAAGCACCGGCUAACUACGUGCCAGCAGCCGCGGUGAUACGUAGGGUGCGAGCGUUGUCCGGAUUUAUUGGGCGUAAAGGGCUCGUAGGUGGUUGAUCGCGUCGGAAGUGUAAUCUUGGGGCUUAACCCUGAGCGUGCUUUCGAUACGGGUUGACUUGAGGAAGGCAGGGGAGAAUGGAAUUCCUGGUGGAGCGGUGGAAUGCGCAGAUAUCAGGAGGAACACCAGUGGCGAAGGCGGUUCUCUGGGCCUUUCCUGACGCUGAGGAGCGAAAGCGUGGGGAGCGAACAGGCUUAGAUACCCUGGUAGUCCACGCUGUAAACGGUGGGUACUAGGUGUGGGGUCCAUUCCACGGGUUCCGUGCCGUAGCUAACGCUUUAAGUACCCCGCCUGGGGAGUACGGCCGCAAGGCUAAAACUCAAAGGAAUUGACGGGGCCCCGCACAAGCGGCGGAGCAUGCGGAUUAAUUCGAUGCAACGCGUAGAACCUUACCUGGGUUUGACAUGGAUCGGGAGCGCUCAGAGAUGGGUGUGCCUCUUUUGGGGUCGGUUCACAGGUGGUGCAUGGCUGUCGUCAGCUCGUGUCGUGAGAUGUUGGGUUAAGUCCCGCAACGAGCGCAACCCUUGUUCACUGUUGCCAGCACGUUAUGGUGGGGACUCAGUGGAGACCGCCGGGGUCAACUCGGAGGAAGGUGGGGAUGACGUCAAGUCAUCAUGCCCCUUAUGUCCAGGGCUUCACGCAUGCUACAAUGGCUGGUACAGAGAGUGGCGAGCCUGUGAGGGUGAGCGAAUCUCGGAAAGCCGGUCUCAGUUCGGAUUGGGGUCUGCAACUCGACCUCAUGAAGUCGGAGUCGCUAGUAAUCGCAGAUCAGCAACGCUGCGGUGAAUACGUUCCCGGGGCU
rnacentral:rRNA from 1 species